UUUUUUGUUGCAAAGCUCCAGCGCUCGAAGGAGGGUCCCCGCGCGAGACCAGACUACACGGACGGCGAGAGACGCGGUGGCUCCACCAGGGAACGGAGGGGCGGCCUGGGGACCCCCAACCUCGGCCGAGAUAGAAACAGACACUGUAAGAAGGAAAGAUACCACAGCAAUGAAGCCUCCUCCAGUGUGUGUGGGUCAAGCUACAACCUGGGUCAUGGAUGUGACAAAGCAGGAAUACUAUUCAGGAAUGCAUUGUUUUUAUUGAACUUCAUGUUACUGUUCAUCACAGCUAUUGAGCUCUUUUUUUGUUGUCACCCUGCCGUUAGGCAAGUUCUGUGUAUGCCUUUUCAGAAGUAUGUCCUCACUUUGUCUAUGUGUUACAUAUUUGAAAACUCUUACAAUAUUUUAAACUUUCAGAAUUUUCAUUAUAUAUGUUUUGAUGAAAAUCUGUGAUUGGUGACCUUUGAUAUUACUGUUGUCAUUGUUUGGGGGCAGCACAAACCAUGUCCAUAUAAGAUGAUGUAUUUGAUCCAUAAAUACUGUGUUUUACUGUUCGACUGACUAGCUAUCCCUCAUCUCUCUCCCUCUCCUCAGGCCUCUGUAUUCCCUGAAACACAAUGGCAUUUAGACUGGACCAAUUAAUAACCCUGUAAUGGCCUCUAAGAGCUUAGGUUACUGGCUUCUGCAGACCGGAUGAAGCAAACUGGAGACACGUUAAGUUAAAGGAAGAGUCCUACAUCUCUCACUUUAAAUCAAAAGGUAGAAACCAUUAAACUUAAUGAAGGAGGCAUGUCAAAAGCUGAGAGGAUUGUUCAGUUCUAGCUUAUGGUGGUACUGGGAUCCCUCUCCUGGAAGGGCUUGCAGCCUCGUUACCCAGAGGGUCUGAAGACUGCUCCUAUCCCGUCUAUGAGAUGAAGCCAUCUUGGAUUUGGGCCUGGUUCCAUCAGGUUUACUCCCAACUGAGUAGGAAAGAUGAAGAGCUUUGGGAAUCUGAGAGGCAAACGAACCAUUUGCUAAGGCCACACAGCCAAGAAGUGAUGGGAUUGGGAUUUGAACCCAGGUGACUAGAUAACAAAGACUUACUCCAGAGAGAACAUUUCAAGCCACAGGAUUUGAAAAUGUCUUACUCAUCCUAUAUAUAUAUAUAAUAUAUGCCAUGGGGUGAGUCAAAGUGGUAUAAAACAAGGUAACUUUGAGACCUGGGAGAAGGCUCAGUAACAGAGCACACACCUUGCCCUGAAUUUCCUGGGUUUGAUCCCUAGCACUGCAUAAAAUGAUGGAGUGUCAUCUGUGGAGAAUUAAAACAAAGGACUUUGCAAAAAAAAAAAAAGUAAUCACAUUAUCUCGGAUUUUGUAAGAACUAUGGUGGUCAUGGUGGGGGAUAGGGCACAGAACGUUGGUGGAGGGCAGGGCGAUUUACAUGAUACCCCUGAAAUCGUAUACUUUUAUAAAAUAUUACUAAGUAAUAAUAAUAAAAAUAAUAAAUUAUCUGUACUCUGGUCUCUUCCUCAAUAAAAACUAAGAAAAAAAUGACUGCAGAUUAUGCCUCCCUUCCUCCCUGUCAUCCAUUCUUCCUCCCUUUCUGUUCUUUGAGUACAUGCCCAGGAGUGGAAUUGAUGGAUUAUAUUUUAAUUUUUUUUUGAGGAGUUGCCAUUAUUGUUUUCCACAGUGGCUGUGCUAUUUUUAUAUCCCCACCAACAGUGCAUGAGGGGCCCAAUUUCACCACAUCCUCACCAACACUUGUCACUUUCUGGUUUUGUUGUUUAA